CCCCCAUCAUAUUUCUCUCUUUUAAAUUUAUAUCUUUUGUAAGUUUUUGGAGUGUGAAUUAAAAUCUUCAGCAGUUGUGCAUAUAAGAUAAUCGUAAGCAUGAUGAGGCCAUCUUGGACCUCUUCCUCUAAUAGAGGAAAGGGGAGAGGACGAGGAGGAAGGACGAACAAUAAUGUCCUAGCUCAAGUCGGAAACCAGAGGCUUAUAGCAGCAAAUAUCACAAAAACAUCUGCUCUCCAACUCGCUGCACAAAAUACGGUAAAUACAAAUUCUAUUUAUUUGGACUUGUUAUUCCUUGUCUUGUUUCAAUCGUGUUUGGCCGCUGUUUGAUUUAUCUUUGGUCGUUCUUUCUUGGCUGACCCAUGCUGCUCGACUCUCAGUUUAUAUAGUAUCCUAGAGGUUGAGUUAGAAUCAUUUUCGCGUUCAUCCGAUGUAUAAAAGAUGUGCUCUAAAUGUUGUCGCUCUUAUAAGUUUUAGAAUUCUUCUUUCAAGUUAGCUAUGAUAUUAAUAGUUCCAUCUUACUUGAAUGGAAUUUCUAAUAUUGUGUGAAAUUGCUGGUUGUCUCUUUCUUGGUGUUGCUGUCUCUUUAUGUUAUUUUGUGGCCAUUUCCUAUUCUCUUCUUUUCAGUCUAUUUGUUUUAAGUGGGUAAUCUAUUUAGCAUGUUUUAGUUUAUUGAUAUUUUGAGAUUGGUGUUCUUGUUCAAAAAAAUUCUAUCUGUUGUAUGUAGGGUUUAUUUGUUUGACCCUAUUCGAGUUUCCCCUCUUUUCUCAUGUUCGUAACUAAGUAUUCAUGACCAAGCGUAGUGAAGUUGGUUUGUUCUCCCUACCUCACAUCUCAAAAGGUCCAUUUUAGUAUAGAUAGCGUCAUUCACUUCAUCUUUAAAACAUUUGAAUGGUCUAAAGAGGUCUGUUGUUUCUCAUUUUUGCAAGGCUCUUCUCGUUGCUGGCCGAAGUGUUAUAUUGCGAUUUCUUCUGUCCAUAAAAUUGCAGCAUGUCUCCCUCUUCAGUUUUCCUUGGUUAAAUUUGUCCAACAAGCACUUUUUGGCUAGUUUUAGUGAUCGAAGGAAAGUGCUCAAACGACUAUCAUCAUCUGAAGAGUAGAAAUUUGUAAUUUUAGGCUCGAAACAUACAAAUAUAUGUGAACUGUUUUAUAUUCUAAGUUUUAGUGACUGAUUUUUUAGCAUGUUGUUGUUAGUCAAUAUACAAGUAGCUCUCUCUCAUCUUUGUCGAAAUUCAAAUAUAUCUGUACUAGUUUUAGUUUUCCGUCCAUCUCAACUACUUAUAUGGUAUCUUCACUUAGCAAUGUCCUUUUUGGAUUUCAUGUAUAUCCGUGUCUGCUUGCGUUUACCGCCAGCAUUUUAGCUUGAGAAAAUAGAAUCGUUGGGGUCAGUUUAUUAUAGUUACAAUUUAUCACUUCUCUUAGAAAUGGUGUGGCAAAAUCAAUUCAUUUUCUCUACUUUUGCUUGGGAAAUUGUGUUUGCUCCCUCCUUAGCAUUGUUAGUUUUCAUUAAAUAAAGUUGGAUAGACUAAAGUCUGUGAUUGUUUUAUUUGCUAAUUAUCCACUUGUUUUCUUUAAAUGCUUGGAGUUUUUAAGUUUUUUAGUGAACAGUUGUAUAUCCCCUGGAACAUAGCAAGCUCAUAAGUGAACAUACACGCAUAUAUAUGUACAACCGUUAGUUUCGUGAUCCGCUUAUUAUCUUUGUCCCUUUUAACUUGCUUAUUUAAUUUUUCGUUAGAGUAGUAUUUCUGUUCAAUUUAAUUUCCUUGAAUAGCAUCCAUUUUAAUCAAAUUCCAUUUUUUUAAGUUAUACCUUAUUUGUUCUAUAACUUCGUGUGAUAACCCUUGCAAUUUUUUUGAUACAUGUGAAAUCUACCUCCGAGUCUUCAUGGACUCCAUUUUGUCCCUGCAUUUCAAUAGAGUUACAAAGAAUCAUAAUGCCUUUCGAUUGAACCAAUCAUUAGAAAUCGACGUAUAGGUCUCGAUGAUUAAAGAAUCGAAGGAGAUUAGAUAAAUUUGACGGAGUGGAGACAAAGUGUCCAAAAUUUUAUUUUGGUAGCGUUGUAUUUUUUAGUUUGGGCCUAGACCUUGUCGUCUUUUCUUUUCUGUAUUUAUGAUUCGUUAAUUGUCUGUUUAUCUUACGACAGGUACAAAUAAAAGUGGUCCAAAUACCGGUCCAGGCAGACAGAAACCGAUUUGGGCCCAACCAACUCUCUCUCUUUGUCUCUUUAUUGUUUUAUGUUUUUUUUAAUUUACCAUUAGUUCUAAGGUCGAAAGACUCAAAUCCACUGCAAGGCGCUAUUUCAUUUUAAUAAUUCAAAAUAGAUCAAUCGAUUUCAAAUGGACUUAAAAACAAAAAAAAUUGAAAAAUAAACAAAUCAUUUAGAUAAAUUUUAUCUUACCUUUUUGAAAGACUUCUAAAGAAAUUUGAUUCAAGGUAUUUUUAAAGUCAGACAAGUUUGUUGCUGGAAAACUGAAUUAACAGAUAUUGUAAAUUUCGUAAAAACCAUUCAAAAAUAUAAGUGAGAAUUCCUGAACCCCCUUUGAAAUUUUCAAUUGGUUUCCUGUUUGAAGUCGUUUGAAAACCAAGUUUUCUUAAUUUUUCUUAAAAAUUUUAAAAAUUAAGUGGAACCUCUAAUUAAGUCUAAAACAACAUAAAAUAUUUUCAUUUUCGAAUAAAACAGUGUUUGUGUCUAAAAAGUGUCCAAAAAAAUAAAAAAAGAAUGGCCUAAUAUGUGUUACAUAUGCAGGAGGAAAAAUCAAAAAUUUGUUGAAAAUUGUCUGGUGCAGAGGCCUACAGACCCCAUUGACGGUCUGUCUCUUGAUCGACAGAACUUAAAGGACGUAUGCUGAUCGCAGGUACAAUGACCCCGAAGAUGAAAUUAGUGUACUCAAAGAAAGGCAAAUCCAAGUCAUUUUCCCCGUCUUAUCAAUUGAUCAAUGAAGACAAUGAUACAGAGCAGGACCAAUCCUAUGUUCCUUCUCGUAUGCAAACACCACCAGCAUCAUCCCGAUAACCUAGGAGCAACCUACGGAAGGUGCACCUUGACUUAGUCACUACCUCCCUAAAUGAGGAGCACACAUUGACCAAUUCACAAACAGGGGAUGCGUCCAGUUCAGAGGGGCCUCAAUAUCAAGCUCUGAGUCCGCCAUAACUUCAGGUUCAGGGUUAGCCAGUCUUCAAUGUCCAAGUCGGCCACUAACACUGAUUCCAACUUUCAGGGAGCCACGAGAUCAGGGGGUCAAGAACAACAAGGCAUGUCUGAUGAGGCCACUAGUUUGGAUUUUGCACCUGCACCCUAAACAAAUUACUCCACCCUUGUUGUAGAUGAACUAAACAUGUGAUGUGUGGAUGGGAAAUUAUAGGUAUAUAGAGAUGCAAAGAUGCUCAAUAAGAAAGGGGUGAUGACUCAAUUGAAUAAUGAGGAGCGUAGAGUUCUCACCGGGAUUUUUCAUAUAGUUUUAGAGGUGCAAAGACUCCUUAAUCUCUAAAAAUCCGACUGGAUGGAUCAGGACUUGGACCCAUAUAGUGAGGAGAUUGUUCGGGAGUUCUAUGGCUCUUAUCUUGCUACCCUCCAGGGGUCUAUCCACAACCGGGCCAAACUCACAAAGCAAGACCCUCUCACAUACACCAUCUGUCGAUUCCUAUAUAGUCCCACCACCGGUAUAACAUGGAGCCUCAACAGCGUAGAGUUCGGUUACUGGUGGGAUACAAUAUGAGGAGGAGAUCUUCAGAGAAACGCAGAGAAGAAGGAGGCAGUGAAACUGUGGUUAGCUCAAUAUAUUGUAGUAGCUGGGGAGAUGGCUGACUGGGUUAUAAAUCCCUGAGGGCUCAUAAAAGAGACUACAGUCACUUUUGUGGACAAAUUUUUCUGGAUGUUGGUCCGACACCGAGUAUCACCCACAAAGGCCGACAAUGUACUUACAUGGGAUAGGGCGGAGAUGGUGGCAACACUGGUAGUUGGGCUGGAGAUAAACUUUGCAUGAAAGAUUUUAGUGGAGAUAUGCGAGAGUAAAUUUAAGACCUCAACCACUUACCCCUUUCUGUAUCUUAUCUAUUGGAUAUAGAGGGACGUUGGAGUGCCAAUUUGUCACUGUGACCCACUCCGUCGACUUACCGGGACAUUGGAUAUAAGACUCAUAAAAGAUGAGGAUAAUAUAGCGGCACACCAUAGAGGGCCUCGGAAUGAGGUUCCCCAGUUGUGUGAAAAUUUGGUAGAUAGAGUGGAGCUAGCCCAAGACGCUGAUCCUUCUGUAUAAGAGCAUGAUGACCCCAUUCAGGACUCCUCUUCGGAUGCAGCCAACAAGCCCCCCAGCUCAUCCAGAUCCAUACCACCACCUGCAGCACUGAUCCCUUUAGCUUGAGUCUAAAAGUUGUAGGUGCAGAUUACCACCUUGCUCCAUCAUAAUCAUCCAUGGAUGCAGAUAUCCAUAGCCGAUGCAGAAGACCACAUGUAGAAGCGGGUGGCCAAGCAGGAAAAGCAAUACAUUAAAGAAGUCCACAAAUUCCUUGAUGCAUCCGAGCUACGUGUUAUAGCACGACCAACACCCACCACUGACCUCACUGCCAUACAAAUUGAGUAGGCCAGCUUUCGAGCCAAUGUUGAUACCAUUUUAGAGAUUCAAGGAGCUGAGCCAGAGAUUGGUCGCACUGAACUAGCUGAGGACACUAUGCUUGAAGCCUUAUUCAAGCUACCUGUUGAGACACAAUCCGAGCCACAUGUUUGUAGAACGAGGCACUGCUCCAGCCACAUCACUAAGGUGGAUGAUGAGACCCGUCUAAGAAAGAAGGAGCGGACGGAGAUGGGGCAGUCUAGGAAGUCCUCGCUAAUGGAUGAGGAGAUACGCCUUAAGAAGGCACAAAAGAUAGUUGCUGGGGCAUCCAACUCUAUUCUUGAGAGCGGACCGAGUAGAACUAUUGAUGGUGUUGAGAUAGAGGAGGAUGAAACUACUGAUGGUUCCAUCCUUAGAGAUGUGGGCACUACUAAAGGAAGCACAAUUUCAAAUCCAAUGGGCUCCGAGAGACUAGACCCACCCACUUGUUGAGAGAUCUUCGGUGUUAUACGCCACAUGUUUGUUUCACCUAAUACCACACUGUCACUAAUUUCAUAUAAAUUAGGGACAAUUAAAAAAACAAAUUGUUAGGGGUGGAGUAAAUGGAUUGCAAGUGGUAGAAUAAUGUCUUAGUAGCCCAAGUCAUGAUCCUCUCUUGAGGUUUUCUUGCCCGUUUUCUUUUUCCCCAAAAGACUGCUUAAAUUUCUAUUGGAUCGACAUGUAUUAGUGGGUAGAAGUGUAGAGGCAUGAAAGACAAAAAAAAAUGAUGGCUAAUAAAUAAUGAUACCCGCUCCCAUUGUAAUUUUUGCAUAUAAAGGUUAAGAUAAGUUUAAUGUGUUGGUUCUAAACAUGACAUAAAAAGACACUCACUACAUAACCUUCCACUAAAACCUGAACUGGGAAAUCUUAUAAUCUGACAAUGAAAUGAUGUUCCAAGAGAGUGUGAGGAUAUUCGAGUGUUUAACUGUUGGUGCCUAACUAGAACUUUUCGGGUUAGUACUGCAAAAGGAAUCUACUCAAGUUGACCAAAUAAAAUAACUGUCCCUUAUGAUCCAAAUAUGUCGAGCCUAUAAUAGACCAAUUUUUUUGCUUCACUAACUCUACUUCCCAGGGUCUAUUUUUUUCCCUAGUGUCUCCUUGGACAUAUGCACCUCAACUUAGGCCAAAAUCCUAAGUUUAGGGUCGCUAAUGUAGAAAGUGACCUUAUCUUGGACCUUACCUGACCUCGGGUAUUUUGUACUUCAACCAUAGAAAAGUCAUGAGUUAAUGGUGACUAUUAUGAGAGAAGACCCAAAAAUGGGUAUGAAAAGAGUUGGAUGUUUAAAAUAAAAUCUUAAGUAAGAGAAAUAUGAGACUUGUCAAAAAAUAAAAAAUCUGUUGAAAAACAAAUAAUGAAAGUCACAUCUAAAAAUGGAAAUAAGGCAAAGGAAAGAAGAGAAAACAAAUAGGGGGUCAAAAGCAAUAAAAAAAGGUAAAUAGCUUAGCGGUAAUGUCAAGAAGGUCAGGAAGUCACUUAAUGUACCUAAAUGUACCACACCUGACCCCGAGCCUACAUUACAAUCAAAGAAAGUCCUACCGUGAUCCUAAAGUCUACUGUAGUUAACCUAAGCAGCAAAAAUAAGGGCAAGCCUAUGGCAUGGAGCACUAACAUUAUUUGAACUCAUUCCUGAGUGUGAUGUUGAACAAAGAUCCUUGUACCCAAAAUGCAAUAUCACUAUGUGAAAACUGAGAUUUCUUUUAUAGUGAGGACACUAGUUGCAUUAUGUGAAAGUUGGUACCUUGGUGAGAGGAAAAACAAUAGAGGUGUCUGUUGCAUGGUGAAUUUGUGUCAUGAUGUGAUCUGUAUGUGUCGGCUUAUCGAUCCUUAGAGAAUAGGCCUGCAAUCAAUCAAUAAAGAGUCAAGAUAGAUAGUUAGAUGAUUGCUAGAGCUUAGAGUGUCUACUCCUAUACAAAUAUCGUUUAGGGUCAUGGUGUGUCUCUUGAGGAAAAAUAACGAAUUUGAGUUGAGGGUGUUGAUAUACCAUGAUUUCACGGUAUUUUUAAUUCAUUUCACUUAAGAGUUUUGUGUGUGUAUAUCCAAGUGGUUUUAACAAGUUUUGUGUAUUGUUUGGCAGGAAAGAUGUUCACGCUAAAAAUGGAGAAGAUAAUUGAUAAAAGUGCAGAAAUAGACUUACGGAGGUAAUCGAUAGACCGUAGUUGGUGAUCGUAGAUAGGAAAAUUGGAAAACGAAGAAAAAUCAGGAAAGUCUAAGUAUAGAAUCACGAGAGGAAUCGACGAUCCAUUGACUGAUCGAUAGACUGUACUAGUGAGCUAUCAUUUAAUUCAAUACCUGAUUUUUGAAGAUUCUAAGCAUCGAACAAUGGAUGAGCAUCGACGGCCUGUGAUAAAACCUUAAUUUUUGGAGAUAGUUACUAUUACUCUUGUCCUAGUAUCUGUAUUGGAGAUUGACUUUUGCAACUUUAGAAAUGCAUGGUGAAAUUAACUAGAUGUCGGACCAAGGAUUUAGAGAUACCUAACUUAUCACUUUGAAUGUAAUACACUAAGAAAGGAUUGCUAUUGCCAUAAAUAUUGUGUUAUGAACCUGUGGGGAACACAAACACUAUAAUUACUUUCUCAUCUUGAUAACAACCAAAGUCUACUUUUUUCACUUGAUAAUCAUACUAUUUAAGGAAUUUGUUUCACAAACUCCCCUUCACUUACAUGUUUCGGAAAGACAUUGACUAAAAAAAUAUAAUUGUGAGUUAAAUUUAAGUCUACACCAUUUUCCUCGUGGUUUCGACCUCAACCUACAAGCUGAUGUUUUUAAAAGAGGUGUAACUUGAGCAUAUCAGGGACUCAAUUUAAUAAUCUUCCAGCUAGUCAGAGUAUUGUGCAUGUCGUGUGCAGUAGACCAUAUAGUGGUCGUACUUUCUUUAAAUAUGGGGAACUUGGACACAUAAUGAAACACUUCCCACAACCAUGAUCACUCGAGUCCGGACAGCAACCUUCUCAAUCAAUUGUGCACGUGGGGAUAGUAAUAAUGGUAAAGGUUGUCCACAAGUUGGGAGAGGAGGAUGUUAGCUAGGCCUUGGAGGUAGAGAAAAUGGUAACAUAUGUAGAAGUAACGUGCAACCUUGAAUGGAGGUGGCUUGUGUGGAUGAUAGCGCAUAAUGUUAUGCCUUUCUAGGCAACAAUGAGGUAGAGGCAUCCGAUGAAGUGAUCACAGGUACUAUUCUAGUUUGUGACUGGAUUGCUAAUAUGUUGUUUGAUAUGGAAUCGACCUAUUCUUAUUUGUCUAUAAGUUUUACAUUUGAUUUAGAUAUGUUAUGUGUUAUUCUUGAUGUCCCUAUACAUAUUUCCUCCCCGAUUGGAGAGUCAGUCAUAGUCACUCAUGUAUAUCGUGUUUGCCCUAUCUUGUUUAUGGAAUUUCAAACUUAGGGUGAUUUUGUCAUUUUGGACAUGGAUAAUUUUUAUAUUAUCUUAGGCAUGACUUGGUUUUCUCCCUAUUAUUUUGUGCU